CAGCCGCCGCGGUAAUGCGUAGGUGGCAAGCGUUGUCCGGAAUUAUUGGGCGUAAAGGGCUCGCAGGCGGUUUCUUAAGUCUGGUGUGAAAGCCCCCGGCUCAACCGGGGGGGGUCAUUGGAAACUGGGAAACUUGAGUGCAGAAGAGGAGAGUGGAAUUCCACGUGUAGCGGUGAAAUGCGUAGAGAUGUGGAGGAACACCAGUGGCGAAGGCGACUCUCUGGUCUGUAACUGACGCUGAGGAGCGAAAGCGUGGGGAGCGAACAGGAUUAGAUACCCGAGUAGUCCCUGUCUCUUAUAC
rnacentral:rRNA from 1 species